rnacentral:rRNA from 1 species
AUUGAACGCUGGCGGCAGGCCUAACACAUGCAAGUCGAGCGGAUGAAGGGAGCUUGCUCCUGGAUUCAGCGGCGGACGGGUGAGUAAUGCCUAGGAAUCUGCCUGGUAGUGGGGGAUAACGUCCGGAAACGGGCGCUAAUACCGCAUACGUCCUGAGGGAGAAAGUGGGGGAUCUUCGGACCUCACGCUAUCAGAUGAGCCUAGGUCGGAUUAGCUAGUUGGUGGGGUAAAGGCCUACCAAGGCGACGAUCCGUAACUGGUCUGAGAGGAUGUUCAGUCACACUGGAACUGAGACACGGUCCAGACUCCUACGGGAGGCAGCAGUGGGGAAUCUUGGACAAUGGGCGAAAGCCUGAUCCAGCCAUGCCGCGUGUGUGAAGAAGGUCUUCGGAUUGUAAAGCACUUUAAGUUGGGAGGAAGGGCAGUAAGUUAAUACCUUGCUGUUUUGACGUUACCAACAGAAUAAGCACCGGCUAACUUCGUG